CUGUAAUUGAAUUAGAGCUGACGGAGAAAGGCUGUGGCUCUGAGCUCUGUGGAGCUGGAGGGAUCCACAGCCUUGAGCCAGGUGGAGGGGAUUUGGGGAGCACAGCUGAGGCUCUUAAAGGAGGAGAGAAGGGGGGAGAAUAUGGAGCUGCUUGGCAGAGAGAGAGUGAUAUAUAGCUCCAGGAUCAGAGGGCAGGAAACUGCAGCAUUGGCAUGGCCAAUGGUGUUGGCCUGGCUAAAUGGGAGUGCAACAGGCAGCAGCAGCCAAGGUUUACAGCAACUGCCCAGUGCUACAGCAUCAGUGCUAAGGAAGGGGGUGUAUCCUGUCUCUGAUGGUGAAAAGGACCAGCUAAUAACCUAGGUGCAAAAGCACACAGCGAAGAGGAUAAGAGUGUAGCAGAGAAGCUGAGCAAAUGUUCUUCAUCUGUGGAGGAGCUUACUGGAGUCCCCAGCCUGGAACACUUCUUAAUGGGAGACGAGUCAUAAAAUGUGUCUCAAAGUGAUGUUUCUGUAGAUGGAGUUAUAAAGCACCUCAACAAAAUAAACGGUGCCGGCUGAGCAGCACCGAGUGGUUUUCAGUUGAGCUCUUAAGGAAUUCAAGGAUGAAAUAGCUGAACUAUUAACUGCAUUAAGUCUACUGUGAAACCUCUCACUUAAAACAUUCUCACUAUAGGGGGCAAGAAAGCAGUGAGACCUUGAUUUUAAAAAAUGCUUUUGAGCAGAUCCAGGAAGAGUGGGUUGUUAAUGUUGAUGCCUAAAUGAGGUAGUAUGGAAGGGAAUUGGGGAGUGUGUUAGUGAGAUAUGACUUAUGGGAAAAGUCAACUUGGCUUUUGUGAAUGGGAGGACUACCUGAAGGGUCAGCGAGGGAGCAUAUAUCAAAGUGCUGAGAAAUCCAUGUGUGGUCUGCUUGAGUUUCUGAGAGUUUAACAGAUCCUUUGUUCCAAGGAUCUCAGAGAAACCUUACAGGAGCUCCGAGUUGCUAUGAGAAGGAAGGUGCUCCCAUAGGUAAGCCUGGGCUAAGGCUAGGAGUCAAAGGGAAGGAGACACAGGUCAGCCCUCAUGGUGAAUUCUAUCUUCCGUUCUGUCACCCUCUCUAUCAAUAUUAUGCAUUUCUUAUUUAAUUUGUUGCCCCUUCUCUCCUCUGCAGGGAGAGAAGUGAAGCACUUGGCCCUAUGCAUCCUUUCAGGGUUCUCAUUAGUAUGACUUCUUUCACUUGUCCAUUAAGACAAUCCCUUAUCAGUGCUGAAGGAUGCUGUCCUCCAGUUUUCCUCUUACAAAAGCCAUUCCAGAUCUUCCAUCACCCUCUUGUCCCGGGUGGUCUGAGGUGAGGGGAUUGAAACCACAGUAUGGCUGAACCAAUGAUUUAUACAGCAGCAGAAUUGUGUUUCCCAUUGAUCAGCUAAUCUACCAUUCUCUGGGAGCUCUCCAUGGAGGCUGCCUGCCAUGUGUUAACAACACAGAUGGCCCAUUUGACAGUUUAGAUACCAUCUUACAAAUGGCCUUCCUCCACCUUUGCUUAGUUCUGGAGUCCUCUUGUCAUAAUGACUCACUGGAGUGCUCCUCUCCCAGACCUGCUUGCUGAUUGCCUCCCCGUGAUUUACAGCUCAACCUCAGCUGUUCCUACCUGACAUCCAAAGAGAUAUGCGCCAUCUCUCUCUCCUUGCACUUGUAAUUUCAUAGUGUUUGGGUUUACAUUCCUCUUCCAGAGCCACUUUGCAAGGUUGUCUGCUCUGUUGCUUCGCUCCUGCUUGGGAAGCAGGCUGAUUUCAUUAGUAAUAUGGCCAACUUCUGCAGAGCAGCCACCAGGUACUAAAUCAUGCUCAUGGUUGCACUAGGAAAGACUGAUGCCCAUGUGUUCUGACACAGGCUGUCUUUCACUGGACACAAUGCUGCUGUAGGUGGAGCUGCUUUAUUUGAUGCCUGAUGGGUUAGCUCCUUUAUAACGUUUCAGUGGUCAUUUGCUGUAGGACAUGGGUUCUCAAUGGAGGCCAGAGGAGAUUACCACUGAGCACAUUGCUCUGAACAGAAGCGGGCUACGUGUGCAGGCUCAAAGGAGAAGCACUGGUGAUGCAAUUAGGAAUAAAGCUCAAAGAGGUAUUAUUGUGAGACAUGAAUGUAGCUCUGUUGGGAUGGAACACUCUCUCUUUCUAAAGAAAGUGGAUGCCUGACCUUUGUUUCCAUCCACAAGGCGUUUCAUGCUGUUUUUCCAUUGGGAUAUUAACAGCUCCUCUGAAAUCAUUGAACUGAACUGUUCUAUACCAAGUGACAAACUACCUGUAAAAGAUCUCAGUGAAAGCUUCUUCCAGAGUCAAAGAAUUGAUUUCCAGAUAUCUCGGCACUUCUUCCAUCUUCUCAAAGACAGCAAUUCUCCAGGUCUCCUUGUUCUCUGGGACUCUCAAGAAUACCAAUAACAGGGGAGUACAUUGCAUCCAUGCACGCAGGCAGCAGUGUAAGGGGAGCAUGCAACCUGACUGUCAUCACUUUGUUCACCUCACGUGUUCAGGACCAGGACUGCUCACAGCCGGCAUCCUUUCUGCCAUGGUCCAUCACACCACAGUGGUUCAUGCAUCGAGAGCUCAUCCGUGCCAGUAAGGGGGAGAGAGAGAGACAGAGCACCCCUCAAGUCAUCCGUGCAUCCAGAUCCCUGUCCACGUUGGAAAUAUAUUUGAAGUGACAUAACUGACCCUGAAACAAAAGGUGUUUGCUGUUCAAAGAGAUGUCUGAAGCCCUCGUCUAGAUGAUGAUUGAUGGCAUGCACAGUGAACAGAGUGCUGAAGGAGCCUGGUGAAAUAGAAGCAAAGGCUUCUUUUUUUUUCUUAAUUUUUAAUUUUUAUUUGUUUAAUACGUGUAUGUAUGGAGCCUCCUCCUUGUAUGACCCAGGAAUACUUUCAGAUGAAGCCCUGUGGCUCUGAACUGCCUUCAGGACUGCUUGAUUUAUGGUGCCUCAUGUGAGCUUCUGACAGAUAGAGCUCCAGCUGGCCGCGUGCACCCUCUCUUUGAGAUGUGAUCAAAAAUUCACAUUUGAACCUGUGCAACCAUCCGCUUCAGCACUAAUGACUGCAGUAGGUGAAGCCUGAAGUGUGACUUUGGGCUGAAGGUUUUUCUCCUUGCAAAUCAAGCAUGCGAACUGCCUGGUGCUCCCUCUGCUUGGUGCCGUAAGUUUGCUCCUACACAAAGUGCUGGGUUUGGACCACGCUGUAUUUGCAAUGGUGCACAUUCAAUCUCCGGUCACCUCGAUUCACUGUAUUGUUAACUUGUAGGAGGUAUUCAGAGAAACCUCCUGUCUCAAGGCAUCUGGAAGCCUGCCCUGGCUUCCUUUGCCUUUCCCUUGUCCCCACUUAAGCAGAGAGCUGAGUUAAGAUCUACAGGGUUAUGGAAGAGCUCCCCUCCCCUGCUUCAGAGCAAUUGCUGUGAUCUCAACAUUGAUUGCAAAGCUGGGUAUCAUUUACCUACCAGGUGUGCAAGGGUAGUACUACUGUGUGUAUCUCAUGUUCAAAUAGCAGAUGAGAAAGGUGUUUGAAAAGAAAACCAAAUGGAAUUUCCCCUUUCAUUUAUUUAUUUUUAUUAUUAUCUUUAGAAAUAGGGAAAGUUUUCAGAAAAAAAUGGAAGUGAUGUAUAAAACCCCAACAAGCCCUGUGUGUUGAGACAAAAACGUACCCAAUAAAUGAAAACAUUUCUCAGCUUUUACACUAAAGCCAUCCCCCAAUCCUCUGCCCCUUAGGAUUGCUUCUGAACGUGGCUCUGUGUUGGUCCCCAGCUCUUUGCCAGCAGCUCCCUGUCCCCUGCUUUGUGAGAUGUGCUCCAUCUCUGUGAGCCACACAGUGGGGCUGUUAUCCCACCUGAUGCAGGGAUGGCCGAGGCUGGUUGGGCUCCUCCUGAAGCUGCUGUUUGUGGCAAGCACAUCUCUCACGCUUGCAGCUCUUUGACCCCCUUGAGGUGUCUGUGGAGUCAGGUUGUGUCUCUACUCACCCAUUUCCAUUAAAGUCACUGAUGGAGGGUCUUCUGCUCAGUGUCCUCAUCUGUGAUGGAGUUGUGCAUGAUGUGGUGGUUGAUGAUGACUGGUUGUAGGGUCUGGCUCCUGUGAAGAGCAAAACUGUUUUGCUCAGGGGAUCAGUCACUGUGCCCAGGCCAUGCGUCUGUCCUCCUUUCCUUGCAAGCCAAUGCUCCUGAGCACCCAUCAAGGGUUAAUUUGCCUUUUGGUGCAAGUGAGAAGUUUGCAAGUACAGAACCCAUGCCAUAUGCUGAGGAUUUAGCUUUAUAAUCAUCUUGGCUUUAGCAGCAAAGCUGGGAAGAGAAGCUUUUUUGUAUUUAUUAUACAUAAGAAGAUCUCGG
ensembl:lncRNA